ACUAAAUAGUAAAUAACUAGUCUAGAGCAAAUAGUUUUACAUAAGAAUUAGAAUUAUUUGGAAGUUCAAUUGCAUAGAUUUCAAAACUUCCUUGUAUUUUUUGGUAAAUGUUUUGUUCGAUAUACAAGAUAAUAGAAACAAUUGUUUAUAAUAAAUAAAAGGAAAAAUGUAAAUAAUAAUUUCCUAUCAUCGAUGAAAUUGGUACUUCGACUAUUGCAUUGGCUUAGCAAUUUAUUUUACCUUUCCAACUAAUUAAUGAUAACAUUUCUUCAUUUAUCUUAAGUUAGUGACGUAUUUAAAAGAUAAAUAUGUUACAUAUUUCCGUUCAUAGAAACUAUGUUAUCUAUACGCACACUUACUCUUAUCUCAAAAAAUUGUUUAAAUGUUAUUUAUAAUAUGAGUAAUGAUUUACAUCACAUCAUACGUGAAUCAUUAAAUAUCUCGUGUCAUUAAAGAUGUCAUAUCAAACAAGUCUUGAUCAAUUUUUUCCCCAAAAAAUUAAACAUAAUCGUAACGUUAAAUCAAAAGAUCUCGUCACCUUGAAGGAACUAAAAAGACUAAAAAAGCCAUCUACAAAAACUAUAUCACGAACAAAAUCAAGACUAAGUACGGAAAGAAAGCAAUCUUCAGAGAUGAAUAAAUCAUCAUUUAGUAUUAAUGAUUCGAUAAACAAUGUACAAAUGACAAAUACAGGUACUCAUUUUAUGUUAGGUAUGAAUGAAACUUAUUACACGUCAAAUAAUCUACAAGAUACUGAAAUAGAUUCAAUGUCGGAUUGCUCUAUAAUAUAUGAAAGAAUAAAUACAUCGAAUAAUACAAUAUCAAUUGACAUGGAAAAAGAAAUGGUGUAUGGAAAUCAUGCGAUAAAAGAUUCUGAAAGAUCUUGCGUCGAUAAUCAGUUGCAAGAACAUGAGGAAGAAGUAUCAUUGUGUUGCACCAAUAUUGAUUUUAUAGAAGAAGUAAAUUUAUCAAAAAAAGAAAGUAAUGAAAGUACUUCAAUAAAAGAAGCAUCGGAAAGGAUGGAUAUUGAAUAUUAUGAUGUAAAUAAUGGAAAAAGCGACCUUUUUUCGAUCUGUAGUAGUCCUAUCAAAAGUUUACCUUCUCCUUCUAAGCAAAGAAAUUUAACUUUUACUCCAAAAAAAAGUUCAACUAAAGAAGUUUCAUCACCAAAUUCUAAAAGUCCAAAGAAGCUAAAUCUUUAUCUUCGACAAAUAGUAAAUAAGGAGCUUACUCGUACUGCGAUAGAAAAUAUGAAUCUUAUAAAAGAAGGCGCUAUUAUAGGAAAUAAUUUUAAUCUUCAAAAAAUAUAUGCUAGCAGUACAUUUACAUUUAGAUAUAAUAGCAUUGAUACAAGAGUAUCUGAAAAAUACGAAUACAAUGAUGUGACCAUACCAACUGAAACUUAUGCAGCACAUUUAUUCAUGAUAGUAGUGAAUGUUUUUUCAAAUCCUAUAAAUUGUGGUUACUUUGAUAAGGAAGAGACAGAUUUUAUUUUUUCUAUGCUUACCCUUUCCAUAGAAGCACAAAUAUUAUUUGCGCGUAUUUUAAAAAGAAAAUAUUCUUGGCACAGAGUGGAACAUUUAAAAUAUCAAGAUUUAAUCAAAGAUUUUAUAUCCACUUGUAAAGAGCUCGUGCUAAAGUCAUUUUUUAUAUCCGAUAUAAAAAACGAAGAUUUAUCUGUUUCCUUAAUGAUGCUUCAAGCUGAUGAAAUUGGUGCAAUUUGUAAGGAUUUUAAAUUAAAAAAUGUUAAUAAUAAGAAAAAAUCAAUAGAGAAAUUAUUGGAAAUAGCAACCAAGAAACCUCUCUUUCCUGGCAUGAAAACUUCAGGUGAAAAAUUAAAGUUUUUAGUGUCAAAUAAGUUGGGAUAUUGUAUACGUUUGUGUCAAAAGACAAUAUAUAUUUUUGAUAAGAUAUUAACAUUAUUCAAACCUGAUCAAAAACCUGAAGAAACUUUAUCGGAUACAUUUAAUAUGUUAUUGAACAUCGAACUUGGGAAAAUAUGUUAUCCUACAUAUUCGGAUAAAAGAUAUCCUAUUUUUAGCGAUAAUAACCAUUUAAUUCAAUAUAUCGAAGCAAAACACGAAUUGUCUAAUAUAAUAAAUGCCAUUGAAAAAAAAGAAUGGGAAAGUGUAAGAAAAAUUGGAAAGUUAGCUUACGAUCGAUGGCUAAUUAUUAUGAAAAGUGAAUGCGCAAGCUUAGAAGACUGCGAGCUCCCUUCGCAUUUAUUUCAAUUUAGACCAAGUUAUUUGUGGCUAAAAAUAUUAUCUAAAAGUAUAAAUUCAUUUAAGAAAAACAAAGACACGUUACCAUUUGCUACGGAAAUAUUGAAUACAUUAAUAAGUCAAAAUAGUUAUAUGCAAAGAAAAAAAGAAAGCUGGUAUGCUGAAUUAGCGUUAAUUGAAAUGUAUCAUAAUAAAGAUUUAGAAGCAAGUGCAAAAAUAACAUUAGAGUCAUUGAAAAUUGAGACUAUUUCUGAAGUUGGUAUCGCAGGACUUAUAGAAAGAGCAGAAAUACUUGUUAAAAGAAAAACUGGCAUUAGUAAAACUACAUUGAUGGAUAUUAAAACCACAUUACAAUCCAUAAAAAGCAAAUUUCCAAGUCCAAUGUUAUGUACAACGACAGUUGAAGCUGCUUUAAUGAAAGAACUACCUGGAAUGAAUAAGAGGAAAAGCAAGUGGUGCAUCAAUAAUAAUACAGAUAAUAAAUUGUAUAGUUCGGUAGAAGAUGUUGCAUUAAAUUUUUAUUAUAAUCAAGGUUUUAAUGAUGGAGUGCAUUGUGAAGGUGCUCUACCAGUCACUCUAUUUUAUGCAUUAUUUUGGGAAGAACUUUUUAAUAUUGACAUACCUGGAACUUUUAUGUCACUGUACCAAAUAGCUCCCCUAGAUUUAUUUACUAAAGAUUUUUACAAAAAUAGAAAAGAAAGAAUCGAUAUGAAAUUCAACUUGUUACGUAGUUUUGAUCGAGAAUCUUUUAGUGGAUUAGUAGAACACAACUUUCUACUGUACAGUCGUUUUGAAUCUAUGAUGCAUGUUAAUAUGUUCACGAAUAAUAUUAAAGAAAUAGUAUAUUGCUUAGGGCCUGAAUGUGUUUUAAAAAUUUGUGAACGACUUAUUUCUAAUUAUAUUUUAUGGAAAGCUGGCUUUCCUGAUUUAAUCGUGUGGAAUUUAAAUGAUAAAAGUUGCAAAAUUAUUGAGGUGAAAGGACCUAAUGAUAAACUUUCAGUGAAACAAACAUUGUGGUUACAAUAUUUACAACAAAUAGGAGUAGACAUAGAAGUUUGUUAUGUAAAAGAUAAUGGACAUGGUAAAAUUAGAACGUAAUAGAAACGCUCAUAAUUAUAAGAAGAAAUGUGAUAAACACGUUGACUGCUGCGCGCGUUUACAGUGAAAUCCCCUUCAGGCCACGCGUACCGCUGUACGAAGCGUAUUCUGCUGGGGUUGACUGAAAAUACAACAAAUCCUUGUCUUCGUCGGAGUCAGCAUAAUAUCGCCGUUCGGAAAAAUGAUUCCGGAGGAAGCAUUAGACGCCUAUGCAAACAAUGUUAUGCAGAUAAAAGUGGUCGAAUGGGCCGAUCAAAGACACGAGAGAAUUUAAAGAAAACA
rnacentral:misc_RNA from 1 species